rnacentral:rRNA from 1 species
AGCGAACGCUGGCGGCAGGCCUAACACAUGCAAGUCGAACGAACUCUUCGGAGUUAGUGGCGGACGGGUGAGUAACACGUGGGAACGUGCCUUUUGGUUCGGAAUAACUCAGGGAAACUUGUGCUAAUACCGAAUGUGCCCUUCGGGGGAAAGAUUUAUCGCCAUUAGAGCGGCCCGCGUCUGAUUAGCUAGUUGGUGAGGUAACGGCUCACCAAGGCGACGAUCAGUAGCUGGUCUGAGAGGAUGACCAGCCACACUGGGACUGAGACACGGCCCAGACUCCUACGGGAAGCAGCAGUGGGGAAUCUUGCGCAAUGGGCGAAAGCCUGACGCAGCCAUGCCGCGUGAAUGAUGAAGGCCUUAGGAUUGUAAAAUUCUUUCACCGGGGACGAUAAUGACGGUACCCGGAGAAGAAGCCCCGGCUAACUUCGUG